rnacentral:tRNA from 1 species
UCAUGGCUCAGAUGGUAAAGAAUCUGCCUGGAAUGCAGGAGACCCAGGUUCGAUCCCUGGGUCAGGAA